GAUGAACGCUGGCGGCGUGCCUAACACAUGCAAGUCGAGCGAACAGACGAGGAGCUUGCUCCUCUGACGUUAGCGGCGGACGGGUGAGUAACACGUGGAUAACCUACCUAUAAGACUGGGAUAACUUCGGGAAACCGGAGCUAAUACCGGAUAAUAUAUUGAACCGCAUGGUUCAAUAGUGAAAGACGGUUUUGCUGUCACUAAUAGAUGGAUCCGCGCCGCAUUAGCUAGUUGGUAAGGUAACGGCUUACCAAGGCUACGAUGCGUAGCCGACCUGAGAGGGUGAUCGGCCACACUGGAACUGAGACACGGUCCAGACUCCUACGGGAGGCAGCAGUAGGGAAUCUUCCGCAAUGGGCGAAAGCCUGACGGAGCAACGCCGCGUGAGUGAUGAAGGUCUUCGGAUCGUAAAACUCUGUUAUUAGGGAAGAACAAAUGUGUAAGUAAAUAUGCACGUCUUGACGGUACCUGAUCAGAAAGCAACGGCUAACUACGUG
rnacentral:rRNA from 1 species